rnacentral:rRNA from 1 species
GACGGAGCACGUGAAAUUCCGUCGGAAUCUGGGAGGACCAUCUCCUAAGGCUAAAUACUCUCUAGUGACCGAUAGUGAACCAGUACCGUGAGGGAAAGGUGAAAAGUACCCCGGAAGGGGAGUGAAAGAGAACUUGAAACCGUGUGCUUACAAGUAGUCAGAGCCCGUUAAUGGGUGAUGGCGUGCCUUUUGUAGAAUGAACCGGCGAGUUACGAUUUGAUGCAAGGUUAAGCAGGAAAUGUGGAGCCGUAGCGAAAGCGAGUCUGAAUAGGGCGUUGAGUAUUUGGUCGUAGACCCGAAACCAGGUGAUCUACCCUUGGUCAGGUUGAAGUUCAGGUAACACUGAAUGGAGGACCGAACCGACUUACGUUGAAAAGUGAGCGGAUGAACUGAGGGUAGCGGAGAAAUUCCAAUCGAACUUGGAGAUAGCUGGUUCUCUCCGAAAUAGCUUUAGGGCUAGCCUCAAGUGAUGAUUAUUGGAGGUAGAGCACUGUUUGGACGAGGGGCCCCUCUCGGGUUACCGAAUUCAGACAAACUCCGAAUGCCAAUUAAUUUAACUUGGGAGUCAGAACAUGGGUGAUAAGGUCCGUGUUCGAAAGGGAAACAGCCCAGACCACCAGCUAAGGUCCCAAAAUAUAUGUUAAGUGGAAAAGGAUGUGGCGUUGCCCAGACAACUAGGAUGUUGGCUUAGAAGCAGCCAUCAUUUAAAGAGUGCGUAAUAGCUCACUAGUCGAGUGACACUGCGCCGAAAAUGUACCGGGGCUAAACAUAUUACCGAAGCUGUGGAUUGUCCUUUGGACAAUGG